CACGUAGGGCGCGAGCGUUGUCCGGAAUUAUUGGGCGUAAAGAGCUCGUAGGCGGCCUGUUGCGUCCGCUGUGAAAUCCCGGGGCUCAACCCCGGGCCUGCAGUGGAUACGGGCUGGCUAGAGGCAGGCAGGGGGAGAACGGAAUUCCUGGUGUAGCGGUGAAAUGCGCAGAUAUCAGGAGGAACACCGGUGGCGAAGGCGGUCUCUGGGACGGUACUGACGCUGAGACGCGAAAGCGUGGGGAGCGAACAGG
rnacentral:rRNA from 1 species